rnacentral:siRNA from 1 species
UUGCUUUCAUGUGUACUUCGAC